rnacentral:misc_RNA from 1 species
GGGAAAUUGAACAAAGAGAAUGUUCCUGUUCUAGCUGAGUUCUUCACAAAAGAUCAGGGGUCUUCUCAUCACUCUUCAGAUAGCCAAGAAGUGGGAUUGCCCAAUGCAAAAACUAGGUCGGAGAACGUGGAUAAAUUGAAGGAGAAAGGGAAGAAAGAAGGAAAGCAUAAACAAGUGGGUGAUCAAAUGAGUGUCCAGAGCAUGGAAAUGUUAAAAGUAAGAGCCCUC